GACGAACGCUGGCGGCGUGCCUAAUACAUGCAAGUUGAGCGCUGAAGGUUGGUACUUGUACCGACUGGAUGAGCAGCGAACGGGUGAGUAACGCGUGGGGAAUCUGCCUUUGAGCGGGGGACAACAUUUGGAAACGAAUGCUAAUACCGCAUAAAAACUUUAAACACAAGUUUUAAGUUUGAAAGAUGCAAUUGCAUCACUCAAAGAUGAUCCCGCGUUGUAUUAGCUAGUUGGUGAGGUAAAGGCUCACCAAGGCGAUGAUACAUAGCCGACCUGAGAGGGUGAUCGGCCACAUUGGGACUGAGACACGGCCCAAACUCCUACGGGAGGCAGCAGUAGGGAAUCUUCGGCAAUGGACGAAAGUCUGACCGAGCAACGCCGCGUGAGUGAAGAAGGUUUUCGGAUCGUAAAACUCUGUUGGUAGAGAAGAACGUUGGUGAGAGUGGAAAGCUCAUCAAGUGACGGUAACUACCCAGAAAGGGACGGCUAACUACGUA
rnacentral:rRNA from 1 species